rnacentral:snRNA from 1 species
GGAUGUGAUGGCAGUCUGGGUGCAACAUCUGUCACCCCAUUGAUCGCCAGGGUUGAUUGAACUGAGCUGGAUGGCUAAGAAUGUGUCCCCUUCCUCCCUCAACUCUCCAUGCGUGUCCCCUCCAUAGCUGCACACUCGGUUGAAGAGGGCAACCUCCUCCAUAGAGACCAAACGGUUUAUUGGACAAGGGUGUACGGUAGCUCUGCCCCCCUGCUAGAAUCUCCAAAUUAGCUCAAGGUUUAUGGCUAUUUAUGCUCUAAUAGCAGUUUCUCUAAUGACUUUUCAGGGAGCUGCCAGAGGUCUAAU